rnacentral:rRNA from 1 species
AGCGUACACGGUGGAUGCCCUGGCAGUCAGAGGCGAUGAAGGACGUGCUAAUCUGCGAUAAGCGUCGGUGAGGUGAUAUGAACCGUUAUAACCGGCGAUUUCCGAAUGGGGAAACCCAGUGUGAUUCGUCACACUAUCAUUAACUGAAUCCAUAGGUUAAUGAGGCGAACCGGGGGAACUGAAACAUCUAAGUACCCCGAGGAAAAGAAAUCAACCGAGAUUCCCCCAGUAGCGGCGAGCGAACGGGGAGGAGCCCAGAGCCUGAAUCAGUGUGUGUGUUAGUGGAAGCGUCUGGAAAGGCGCGCGAUACAGGGUGACAGCCCCGUACACAAAAAUGCACAUAUUGUGAGCUCGAUGAGUAGGGCGGGACACGUGGUAUCCUGUCUGAAUAUGGGGGGACCAUCCUCCAAGGCUAAAUACUCCUGACUGACCGAUAGUGAACCAGUACCGUGAGGGAAAGGCGAAAAGAACCCCGGCGAGGGGAGUGAAAAAGAACCUGAAACCGUGUACGUACAAGCAGUGGGAGCCUCUUAAUGGGGUGACUGCGUACCUUUUGUAUAAUGGGUCAGCGACUUAUAUUCUGUAGCAAGGUUAACCGAAUAGGGGAGCCGAAGGGAAACCGAGUCUUAACUGGGCGUUAAGUUGCAGGGUAUAGACCCGAAACCCGGUGAUCUAGCCAUGGGCAGGUUGAAGGUUGGGUAACACUAACUGGAGGACCGAACCGACUAAUGUUGAAAAAUUAGCGGAUGACUUGUGGCUGGGGGUGAAAGGCCAAUCAAACCGGGAGAUAGCUGGUUCUCCCCGAAAGCUAUUUAGGUAGCGCCUCGUGAAUUCAUCUCCGGGGGUAGAGCACUGUUUCGGCAAGGGGGUCAUCCCGACUUACCAACCCGAUGCAAACUGCGAAUACCGGAGAAUGUUAUCACGGGAGACACACGGCGGGUGCUAACGUCCGUCGUGAAGAGGGAAACAACCCAGACCGCCAGCUAAGGUCCCAAAGUCAUGGUUAAGUGGGAAACGAUGUGGGAAGGCCCAGACAGCCAGGAUGUUGGCUUAGAAGCAGCCAUCAUUUAAAGAAAGCGUAAUAGCUCACUGGUCGAGUCGGCCUGCGCGGAAGAUGUAACGGGGCUAAACCAUGCACCGAAGCUGCGGCAGCGACACUAUGUGUUGUUGGGUAGGGGAGCGUUCUGUAAGCCUGUGAAGGUGGCCUGUGAGGGUUGCUGGAGGUAUCAGAAGUGCGAAUGCUGACAUAAGUAACGAUAAAGCGGGUGAAAAGCCCGCUCGCCGGAAGACCAAGGGUUCCUGUCCAACGUUAAUCGGGGCAGGGUGAGUCGACCCCUAAGGCGAGGCCGAAAGGCGUAGUCGAUGGGAAACAGGUUAAUAUUCCUGUACUUGGUGUUACUGCGAAGGGGGGACGGAGAAGGCUAUGUUGGCCGGGCGACGGUUGUCCCGGUUUAAGCGUGUAGGCUGGUUUUCCAGGCAAAUCCGGAAAAUCAAGGCUGAGGCGUGAUGACGAGGCACUACGGUGCUGAAGCGACAAAUGCCCUGCUUCCAGGAAAAGCCUCUAAGCAUCAGGUAACAUCAAAUCGUACCCCAAACCGACACAGGUGGUCAGGUAGAGAAUACCAAGGCGCUUGAGAGAACUCGGGUGAAGGAACUAGGCAAAAUGGUGCCGUAACUUCGGGAGAAGGCACGCUGAUAUGUAGGUGAAGCGACUUGCUCGUGGAGCUGAAAUCAGUCGAAGAUACCAGCUGGCUGCAACUGUUUAUUAAAAACACAGCACUGUGCAAACACGAAAGUGGACGUAUACGGUGUGACGCCUGCCCGGUGCCGGAAGGUUAAUUGAUGGGGUUAGCGGCAACGCGAAGCUCUUGAUCGAAGCCCCGGUAAACGGCGGCCGUAACUAUAACGGUCCUAAGGUAGCGAAAUUCCUUGUCGGGUAAGUUCCGACCUGCACGAAUGGCGUAAUGAUGGCCAGGCUGUCUCCACCCGAGACUCAGUGAAAUUGAACUCGCUGUGAAGAUGCAGUGUACCCGCGGCAAGACGGAAAGACCCCGUGAACCUUUACUAUAGCUUGACACUGAACAUUGAGCCUUGAUGUGUAGGAUAGGUGGGAGGCUUUGAAGUGUGGACGCCAGUCUGCAUGGAGCCGACCUUGAAAUACCACCCUUUAAUGUUUGAUGUUCUAACGUGGGCCCGUAAUCCGGGUUGCGGACAGUGUCUGGUGGGUAGUUUGACUGGGGCGGUCUCCUCCUAAAGAGUAACGGAGGAGCACGAAGGUUGGCUAAUCCUGGUCGGACAUCAGGAGGUUAGUGCAAUGGCAUAAGCCAGCUUGACUGCGAGCGUGACGGCGCGAGCAGGUGCGAAAGCAGGUCAUAGUGAUCCGGUGGUUCUGAAUGGAAGGGCCAUCGCUCAACGGAUAAAAGGUACUCCGGGGAUAACAGGCUGAUACCGCCCAAGAGUUCAUAUCGACGGCGGUGUUUGGCACCUCGAUGUCGGCUCAUCACAUCCUGGGGCUGAAGUAGGUCCCAAGGGUAUGGCUGUUCGCCAUUUAAAGUGGUACGCGAGCUGGGUUUAGAACGUCGUGAGACAGUUCGGUCCCUAUCUGCCGUGGGCGCUGGAGAACUGAGGGGGGCUGCUCCUAGUACGAGAGGACCGGAGUGGACGCAUCACUGGUGUUCGGGUUGUCAUGCCAAUGGCACUGCCCGGUAGCUAAAUGCGGAAGAGAUAAGUGCUGAAAGCAUCUAAGCACGAAACUUGCCCCGAGAUGAGUUCU